UAGAGCAGGCGCUUCGUAAGCGUCAGGCCGUCGGUUCGAUUCCGACCGCUGGCU
rnacentral:tRNA from 1 species